rnacentral:rRNA from 1 species
AGAGUUCGAUCCUGGCUCAGGAUGAACGCUGGCGGCGCGCCUAACACAUGCAAGUCGAACGGCACCCACCUUCGGGUGGAAGCGAGUGGCGAACGGCUGAGUAACACGUGGAGAACCUGCCCCCUCCCCCGGGAUAGCCGCCCGAAAGGACGGGUAAUACCGGAUACCCCGGGGUGCCGCAUGGCACCCCGGCUAAAGCCCCGACGGGAGGGGAUGGCUCCGCGGCCCAUCAGGUAGACGGCGGGGUGACGGCCCACCGUGCCGACAACGGGUAGCCGGGUUGAGAGACCGACCGGCCAGAUUGGGACUGAGACACGGCCCAGACUCCUACGGGAGGCAGCAGUGGGGAAUCUUGCGCAAUGGGGGGAACCCUGACGCAGCGACGCCGCGUGCGGGACGGAGGCCUUCGGGUCGUAAACCGCUUUCAGCAGGGAAGAGUCAAGACUGUACCUGCAGAAGAAGCCCCGGCUAACUACGUGCCAGCAGCCGCGGUAAUACGUAGGGGGCGAGCGUUAUCCGGAUUCAUUGGGCGUAAAGCGCGCGUAGGCGGCCCGGCAGGCCGGGGGUCGAAGCGGGGGGCUCAACCCCCCGAAGCCCCCGGAACCUCCGCGGCUUGGGUCCGGUAGGGGAGGGUGGAACACCCGGUGUAGCGGUGGAAUGCGCAGAUAUCGGGUGGAACACCGGUGGCGAAGGCGGCCCUCUGGGCCGAGACCGACGCUGAGGCGCGAAAGCUGGGGGAGCGAACAGGAUUAGAUACCCUGGUAGUCCCAGCCGUAAACGAUGGACGCUAGGUGUGGGGGGACGAUCCCCCCGUGCCGCAGCCAACGCAUUAAGCGUCCCGCCUGGGGAGUACGGCCGCAAGGCUAAAACUCAAAGGAAUUGACGGGGGCCCGCACAAGCAGCGGAGCAUGUGGCUUAAUUCGAAGCAACGCGAAGAACCUUACCAGGGCUUGACAUAUGGGUGAAGCGGGGGAGACCCCGUGGCCGAGAGGAGCCCAUACAGGU